GUGAAUGCUAGCGGUGCGCCUAACACAUGCAAGUCGAGCGGUAAAUAUUUAAAAGCUUGCUUUUGAAUAUGAGAGCGGCGAACGGGUGAGUAACACGUUGAUACUUGCCUCUAGGUCGGGGAUAGCCAGAAGAAAUUCUGAUUAAUACCGGAUAGUCUCUUCGGAGUAAAAAUUUAUUGCCUAGAGAGAGGUCUGCGGCCUAUCAGCUAGUUGGUGAGGUAAUGGCUCACCAAGGCUAUGACGGGUAACUGGUCUGAGAGGAUGAUCAGUCACAAUGGAACUGAGAUACGGUCCAUACUCCUACGGGAGGCAGCAGUGAGGAAUCUUCCACAAUGGGCGAAAGCCUGAUGGAGCGACACCGCGUGAAGGAUGAAGGUCUAACGAUUGUAAACUUCUUUUCUGAGGGAGCAUAAUGAGAGUACCUCAGGAAUAAGGGACGGCUAAAUACGU
rnacentral:rRNA from 1 species